CGGCGGACGGGUGAGUAACACGUGGAUAACCUACCUAUAAGACUGGGAUAACUUCGGGAAACCGGAGCUAAUACCGGAUAAUAUUUUGAACCGCGUGGUUCAAAAGUGAAAGACGGUCUUGCUGUCACUUAUAGAUGGAUCCGCGCUGCAUUAGCUAGUUGGUAAGGUAACGGCUUACCAAGGUAACGAUGCAUAGCCGACCUGAGAGGGUGAUCGGCCACACUGGAACUGAGACACGGUCCAG
rnacentral:rRNA from 1 species